rnacentral:rRNA from 1 species
GACGAACGCUGGCGGCGUGCCUAACACAUGCAAGUCAAGGGCUUAUUUGUAGCAAUACGGAUAGGCACUGGCGCACGGGUGAGUAACGCGUAGAUAAUCUGCCCCUAACACAGGCACAACAGUUCUAACGGACUGCUAAUACCUGAUGAGGAGGAAGCUCCAAAGAAUUUCGGUUAGGGAUGAGUCUGCGUCUGAUUAGGUAGUUGGUGAGGUAAUGGCUCACCAAGCCUACGAUCAGUAACUGGUCUGAGAGGACGAACAGUCACACUGGAACUGAGACACGGCCCAGACUCCUACGGGAGGCAGCAGUGGGGAAUCUUAGACAAUGGGGGAAACCCUGAUCUAGCCAUGCCGCGUGAGCGAUGAAGGCCUUAGGGUUGUAAAGCUCUUUCAGCUGGGAAGAUAAUGACGGUACCAGCAGAAGAAGCCCCGGCUAACUCCGCG